rnacentral:rRNA from 1 species
AUUGAACGCUGGCGGCAGGCCUAACCCAUGCAAGUCGAACGCGUGGCGGACGGGUGAGUAAUGUCUGGGAAACUGCCUGAUGGAGGGGGAUAACUACUGGAAACGGUAGCUAAUACCGCAUACCAUCAGAUGUGCCCAGAUGGGAUUAGUUGGUUGGUGGGGUAACGGCUCACCAAGGCGACGAUCCCUAGCUGGUCUGAGAGAAUGACCAGCCACACUGGAACUGAGACACGGUCAAGAGUCCUACGGUAGGCAGCAGUGGGGAAUAUUGCACAAUGGGCGCAAGCCUGUGGCAGCCAGGCCGCGUGUAUGGAGAAGGCCGUCGGGUUGUGAAGUACUUUCAGCGGGGAGGCGUUACCCGCAGAAGAAGCACCGGCUAAGUCCGUGCCAGCAGCCGCGGUAAUAC